UGACCAACUGUGGCAAACAGUGACCAUGGG
rnacentral:piRNA from 1 species